UGGCAAUUGACUGCCAUUUCUUCCCCCCCAUAGUGUUAGGCAUCCUAAUUUUCCAUGGAGCACUCCAUACCAGUAUAGCUUAUGGUUCCAGGUAUAGUACAGCCUCCUUCAAUCGGACUAAUUUUCCGGCAGGUUUCCUUUUUGGGACGGCUUCAUCAGCUUACCAGUAUGAAGGUGCAGCAAGAGAAGGAGGUAAAGGGCCAAGCAUAUGGGAUACUUUUACUCAUAGAUAUCCAGAUAAGAUUAUAGAUAGAAGCAAUGGGGAUGUGGCUGUUGAUUCAUAUCACCGCUACAAGGAAGAUGUUCAGAUAAUGAAAGAAAUGGGUUUGAAUGCUUACAGAUUCUCAAUCUCAUGGCCCCGAAUAUUGCCAAAUGGAAAGCUAAGUGGGGGUGUGAACAAGAAUGGAGUGAAAUACUAUAACAACCUCAUCAAUGAGCUCCUAGCAAAUGAUAUAAAGCCCUUUAUCACUUUGUUCCACUGGGAUCUUCCUCAAUCCUUGGAAGAUGAGUAUUCUGGGUUUUUGAGUCCACGAGUUGUGGAUGAUUUUCAAGAUUUUGCUGAAACUUGUUUUAAGGAAUUUGGAGAUCGAGUAAAAUAUUGGAUAACAUUUAAUGAGCCAACGGGAUUCAGUGUGGCUGGUUAUGCAUUAGGCAUCCUGGCUCCUGGGCGAUGCUCAGCCUCACAAAACAUAAAUUGCACAGGUGGAGAUUCAGCAACUGAGCCUUAUUUGGUGUCACAUUACCAGCUUCUUGCUCAUGCUGCUGCUGUAAACUUGUACAAACGCAAAUAUCAGGAAAUCCAGAAAGGCAUGAUAGGGAUUACUUUAGUGACUCCUUGGAUGGUUCCCUACUCCAAUGCAAGGCAUAACAAAAAUGCAGCGCAGAGAGCCCUCGAUUUCUCAUUGGGAUGGUUUAUGGACCCAUUGACAAAUGGUGAUUACCCACAUGUCAUGAAAUCUUAUGUGGGAAAUCGAUUGCCAAAAUUCUCAAAAGAACAAGCUCAGAUGGUAAAAGGAUCGUAUGAUUUUAUAGGAUUAAACUAUUAUACUGCUACUUAUGCAGCCUAUGCCCCUCAAUUUAGGAAUGCAAACAAAAGCUUCCUAACAGACUCUCUCGUUAACAUGACAAGUAAGCAAGAAUUCAGCUGUUCAAACCCUUGCAAGUCAUUAAUAAGUUUCAACUUUGUAUAGAUAAAAUAAAAUUUAUUUUGCAUUACUAGGUGAUCGUAAUGGAAUUCCAAUUGGCCCAAAGGUGUGUGUUGUUAUAUAUUUUUAGUCUUUAUCGUUGUCUGUCGUAUUAUGUAAUUGAUUUUAUAUGGUCUUCUAGGCAGCUUCAGAUUUCAUCCAUGUUUAUCCCAGAGGGAUUCGUGAUCUUUUGCUCUACAUAAAGAGGAAGUACAAAAAUCCACUCAUUUACAUUACAGAAAAUGGGAUUGAUGAGUUCAAUAAUGCCACAUUAUCUCUGGAGGACGCCCUGGUUGACGAAGUGAGGAUUGAUUACUACUAUCACCAUUUAUAUUUCCUGGAAAGAGCAAUUAAAGAGGGGGCUAAUGUGAAGGGAUACUUUGCCUGGUCGUUGCUGGACAAUUUUGAAUGGACAUCAGGUUUCACUGUGCGAUUUGGCAUCAACUUUGUAGACUAUAAAAAUGGAUUAAAGCGAUACCCAAAGCUCUCAGCCCACUGGUUCAAAACCUUUCUCACACCAACAAAUCAGGGACAUGGUAUAUAGCCUUUGCCCUUGGUCCUUGGCUUGGAGGUCUUUAGCUUCAGAUACUAUCCCAGAAGGCUGCAACAAAAAGGAUAUGCAAUCUGAGCGUUGUAUUUAUAAUUUGUCCAAAGUGUCUCAUUUGAGAAAAAGAUCUUGGUAGUGGAAGUAGUUUGUGUGAAUUUCUCUGUCCUAUUGCCCCUGGUUUAUAAAAUGGUUUCAAAAGCUGAUAUGUGAUAAUGCCAACUUCGUUUCUAUUCCUCAAGUUCAUGUUUGUAUUUCUUUCAUCAAUAAUUCCUUCUAAUUCUUCCAAUCUCCCACUAAACUUCUCAGAAGCCCACUCAACUCCCAUUUCCUCCCCAGUAUACUCCUCAUUUGGAGAAGGUUCAAUAACACACUCAGACCUGAAGCUUCAAAGGGAAAGUAGCUGACAAUAUUGCCACAGUUCUUUCUAACAAAAAAUUCCACUCUUUUUCUGUAAGGUCUUCACUUGGCAUUUUUAUUCUAG
rnacentral:misc_RNA from 1 species